rnacentral:rRNA from 1 species
CUGCCGGCUCACUGCCAAGGUUUAAAUACCGGGAUUUGGACCGGCAAGGUAGCAUAUCCAUAGUUCUUAUUAGGGCUGGAAUGAUGGCUUGACGAGAAUCAUCUGUCUCUUAUUAAGUUAUAAAAUUUAACUUUUGAGUUAAAAGACUUAAAUUUUUCUUUAAGACGAGAAGACCCUAUAGAGCUUAACAUUUAAUAUUAAUAUAAUUUUUAGUUAAUUUUUUAAUAUUAAAAUAAAAUGUUUUGUUGGGGUGACAUGAAGAAUAAAUAAACUCUUCAUUCUAAAAUCAUUAAUUUAUGUUUAUAAUGAUCCAUAAUUUAUGAUCAUAAGAUUUAGUUACCUUAGGGAUAACAGCGUAAUUGUUUUUAAGAGCUCUUAUCAACAAAGCAGAUUGCGACCUCGAUGUUGGAUUAAGAAUAAUUUGGGUGCAGUAGCUCAAUAAUAGGACUGU